rnacentral:rRNA from 1 species
CAUCCUACGGGGGGCAGCAGUGGGGGAUAUUGCACAAUGGGGGAAACCCUGAUGCAGCGACGCCGCGUGGGUGAAGAAGCGCCUCGGCGCGUAAAGCCCUGUCAGCAGGGAAGAAAAUGACGGUACCUGACUAAGAAGCCCCGGCUAACUACGUGCCAGCAGCCGCGGUAAUACGUAGGGGGCAAGCGUUAUCCGGAUUUACUGGGUGUAAAGGGAGCGUAGACGGCAGUGCAAGUCUGAAGUGAAAGGCGGGGGCCCAACCCCCGGACUGCUUUAGAAACUGUGCUGCUGGAGUGCAGGAGAGG